rnacentral:rRNA from 1 species
CCGGGGAAAGGGGGGGGGCAAGCCAAACAAAACCACAGGCCCCACGGGGGGGGGGGCGCCNCAAAAGCCCGAGAGAAACACCCGGGGGCAGCCGGGGCGGGGCGGGGAGACCAAGACAACAGGGGCGCCAGAAGGGGNGGAAACCCCCGCGAUAGAGUUUGGAUCUGGCUCAGGAUGAACGCUGGCGGCGUGCCUAAUACAUGCAAGUCGAGCGAACAGACAAGGAGCUUGCUCCUUUGACGUUAGCGGCGGACGGGUGAGUAACACGUGGGUAACCUACCUAUAAGACUGGGAUAACUUCGGGAAACCGGAGCUAAUACCGGAUAAUAUUUCGAACCGCAUGGUUCGAUAGUGAAAGAUGGUUUUGCUAUCACUUAUAGAUGGACCCGCGCCGUAUUAGCUAGUUGGUAAGGUAACGGCUUACCAAGGCGACGAUACGUAGCCGACCUGAGAGGGUGAUCGGCCACACUGGAACUGAGACACGGUCCAGACUCCUACGGGAGGCAGCAGUAGGGAAUCUUCCGCAAUGGGCGAAAGCCUGACGGAGCAACGCCGCGUGAGUGAUGAAGGUCUUCGGAUCGUAAAACUCUGUUAUUAGGGAAGAACAUACGUGUAAGUAACUAUGCACGUCUUGACGGUACCUAAUCAGAAAGCCACGGCUAACUACGUGCCAGCAGCCGCGGUAAUACGUAGGUGGCAAGCGUUAUCCGGAAUUAUUGGGCGUAAAGCGCGCGUAGGCGGUUUUUUAAGUCUGAUGUGAAAGCCCACGGCUCAACCGUGGAGGGUCAUUGGAAACUGGAAAACUUGAGUGCAGAAGAGGAAAGUGGAAUUCCAUGUGUAGCGGUGAAAUGCGCAGAGAUAUGGAGGAACACCAGUGGCGAAGGCGACUUUCUGUCGUAACGACGCUAUGACAGAGAGGG